GCGGGCGUAGCCAAAUUGGUAGAGGCGCACGGCUUAGGACCGUGUGGGGUAACCCGUGGGGGUUCGAGUCCUCCCGCCCGCA
rnacentral:tRNA from 1 species